UACGUAGGGUCCGAGCGUUGUCCGGAAUUACUGGGCGUAAAGAGCUCGUAGGUGGUUUGUCGCGUUGUUCGUGAAAACUCACAGCUUAACUGUGGGCGUGCGGGCGAUACGGGCAGACUUGAGUACUGCAGGGGAGACUGGAAUUCCUGGUGUAGCGGUGGAAUGCGCAGAUAUCAGGAGGAACACCGGUGGCGAAGGCGGGUCUCUGGGCCGAUACUGACACUGAGGAGCGAAAGCGUGGGGAGCGAACAGG
rnacentral:rRNA from 1 species